rnacentral:rRNA from 1 species
GCCAAAAACCUAGCCCAACUAACAAGAAUUCAACCAAAUUAAUUAACCCGACUUAAUAAAUCAUUUUAAUAUUUUAGUAAAGGAGAUUGAAAAACUAUUGGAGCUAUAAUUAUAGUACCGCAAGGGAAAGAUGAAAUAUUUAAUGAAAAAAUUUUAAGCAAUAAAAAGUAAAGAUUACCUCUUGUACCUUUUGCAUCAUGGUUUAACUAGUCUAAUCAAGCAAAACGUAUUUUAGUUUGACUUCCCGAAACUAAGUGAGCUACUUCAGGGCAGCUAAAAGAGCGAACCCGUCUCUGUAGCAAAAGAGUGGGAUGACCCCCAAGUAGCGGUGACAGACCUAACGAACUUAGUGAUAGCUGGUUACUCAAAAAAUGGAUCUAAGUCCAACCUGAAACACAAUUGUAGUACACCAAAACAACCACCUGAAUUUCAGAGUAAUUCAAAUAAGGUACAGCCUAUUUGAAAAAGGAUACAACCUAGACUAAUGGAUAAGACUAGCUCUUCUACACAAUCAAGUGGGCCUAAAAGCAGCCAUCUUUAAAAUAGCGUCAAAGCUUAAUUGUUCUAAUGCUUAAUUACCAAAUUUUUAUCUUAAUCCUUUAUUAUUAUUGAGUAAUUCUAUAUUAUUAUAGAAAAUUUUAUGUUAAAACUAGUAACAAGAAGAAGACUCUUCUCUUUAAUGCAAGUAUAAAUCAGAAAGGACAAACCACUGAUACUUACCGUCAUUGAGCCAAAAGUAAAAACCUACCAAGAAAACUCUACUCUCAACAACGUUAACCUAACACAAGAGCAUUUCAAGAAAGAUUAAAAGAAAAAGAAGGAACUCGGCAAAUAUUAACCUCGCCUGUUUACCAAAAACAUCGCCUCUUGAAUACUUAUAAGAGGUCCAGCCUGCCCAGUGACCAUGUUCAACGGCCGCGGUAUCCUAACCGUGCGAAGGUAGCGUAAUCACUUGUUCUUUAAAUGUGGACUAGUAUGAACGGCACCACGAGGGUUAUGCUGUCUCCUUUUUCUAAUCAGUGAAACUAAUCUCCCCGUGAAGAAGCGGGAAUAAGACUAUAAGACGAGAAGACCCUAUGGAGCUUUAAACAACAUAGCACUUGCCACACAACAUAAAAAUUUCCGAAAAUUUUAAUUAAUUUUGACAACUUGACUAUAAGUUUUUGGUUGGGGUGACCACGGAGCAUAAAAUAACCUCCACGAUGAAUAGAAUUAUUUCUAAACUAAGACCUUCAGGUCUAAGUAUCAAUAUAUUGACAUCCAUUGAUCCAAUAUAUUUGAACAACGAACCAAGUUACCCUAGGGAUAACAGCGCAAUCCACUUCAAGAGCUCCUAUCGACAAGUGGGUUUACGACCUCGAUGUUGGAUCAGGGUAUCCCAGUGGUGCAGCCGCUACUAAAGGUUCGUUGU